GCCUCGGUGGUGUAGUGGUAGUACCACGCGUUUCCCGGUAUGGAUGAAGCGCGGGUUCGAAUCCCUCCUGAAAGCG